AUAUUCGGAGAUUAGUGAAUCCUACUCAAGAACAAAUUGACAAAUUUUUCCUCUAAAAACCAAAAAUUUCAAUUCAAAAGUUUCAAUGCACUAAAAGAAAAUUCAGAGAAUCAAAACAAAGUUGAAUUCAUAUGUCGAGGGGGAGAAUCUGAAUUUUUAAGAAAGCAAAAUCAUUAAAUAUAUAUAAGCCAAACAAUUGAUUGCAUGAUAUGAAGGCUUAUAUAAUUCCAAAUGAAAGGGGGA
rnacentral:lncRNA from 1 species